rnacentral:rRNA from 1 species
UGAACGCUGGCGGUAUGCCUAACACAUGCAAGUCGUACGAGAGUUUUUAACUCUAGUGGCGGACGGGUGAGUAACACGUGAGAAUUUGCCUUUAGGAGGGGGAUAACAAUUGGAAACAAAUGCUAAUACCCCAUAUGCUUUAGAGUGAAAUGGAUUUAUAUUUAUCCGCCUAGAGAGAAGCUCGCGGCUGAUUAGCUUGUUGGUGAGGUAAGAGCUUACCAAGGCGACGAUCAGUAUCUGGUUUGAGAGGACGAUCAGACACACUGGAACUGAGACACGGUCCAGACUCCUACGGGAGGCAGCAGUGGGGAAUUUUCCGCAAUGGGCGAAAGCCUGACGGAGCAAUACCGCGUGAGGGAAGACUGCCUAUGGGUUGUAAACCUCUUUUUUUCAGGGAGGAAUAAAUGACGUGUACCUGAAGAAUAAGCAUCGGCUAACUCCGUGCCAGCAGCCGCGGUAAUCU